GGGACACGUGGUAUCCUGUCUGAAUAUGGGGGGACCAUCCUCCAAGGCUAAAUACUCCUGACUGACCGAUAGUGAACCAGUACCGUGAGGGAAAGGCGAAAAGAACCCCGGCGAGGGGAGUGAAAAAGAACCUGAAACCGUGUACGUACAAGCAGUGGGAGCCCUGAUUUAUCAGGGUGACUGCGUACCUUUUGUAUAAUGGGUCAGCGACUUAUAUUCUGUAGCAAGGUUAACCGAAUAGGGGAGCCGGAGGGAAACCGAGUCUUAACUGGGCGUUAAGUUGCAGGGUAUAGACCCGAAACCCGGUGAUCUAGCCAUGGGCAGGUUGAAGGUUGGGUAACACUAACUGGAGGACCGAACCGACUAAUGUUGAAAAAUUAGCGGAUGACUUGUGGCUGGGGGUGAAAGGCCAAUCAAACCGGGAGAUAGCUGGUUCUCCCCGAAAGCUAUUUAGGUAGCGCCUCGUGAAUUCAUCUCCGGGGGUAGAGCACUGUUUCGGCAAGGGGGUCAUCCCGACUUACCAACCCGAUGCAAACUGCGAAUACCGGAGAAUGUUAUCACGGGAGACACACGGCGGGUGCUAACGUCCGUCGUGAAGAGGGAAACAACCCAGACCGCCAGCUAAGGUCCCAAAGUCAUGGUUAAGUGGGAAACGAUGUGGGAAGGCCCAGACAGCCAGGAUGUUGGCUUAGAAGCAGCCAUCAUUUAAAGAAAGCGUAAUAGCUCACUGGUCGAGUCGGCCUGCGCGGAAGAUGUAACGGGGCUAAACCAUGCACCGAAGCUGCGGCAGCGACGCUGAUGCGUUGUUGGGUAGGGGAGCGUUCUGUAAGCCUGUGAAGGUGUGCUGUGAGGCAUGCUGGAGGUAUCAGAAGUGCGAAUGCUGACAUAAGUAACGAUAAAGCGGGUGAAAAGCCCGCUCGCCGGAAGACCAAGGGUUCCUGUCCAACGUUAAUCGGGGCAGGGUGAGUCGACCCCUAAGGCGAGGCCGAAAGGCGUAGUCGAUGGGAAACAGGUUAAUAUUCCUGUACUUGGUGUUACUGCGAAGGGGGGACGGAGAAGGCUAUGUUGGCCGGGCGACGGUUGUCCCGGUUUAAGCGUGUAGGCUGGUUUUCCAGGCAAAUCCGGAGAAUCAAGGCUGAGGCGUGAUGACGAGGCACUACGGUGCUGAAGCAACAAAUGCCCUGCUUCCAGGAAAAGCCUCUAAGCAUCAGGUAACAUCAAAUCGUACCCCAAACCGACACAGGUGGUCAGGUAGAGAAUACCAAGGCGCUUGAGAGAACUCGGGUGAAGGAACUAGGCAAAAUGGUGCCGUAACUUCGGGAGAAGGCACGCUGAUGGUAGGUGAAGCGACUUGCUCGUGGAGCUGAAAUCAGUCGAAGAUACCAGCUGGCUGCAACUGUUUAUUAAAAACACAGCACUGUGCAAACACGAAAGUGGACGUAUACGGUGUGACGCCUGCCCGGUGCCGGAAGGUUAAUUGAUGGGGUCAGCGCAAGCGAAGCUCUUGAUCGAAGCCCCGGUAAACGGCGGCCGUAACUAUAACGGUCCUAAGGUAGCGAAAUUCCUUGUCGGGUAAGUUCCGACCUGCACGAAUGGCGUAAUGAUGGCCAGGCUGUCUCCACCCGAGACUCAGUGAAAUUGAACUCGCUGUGAAGAUGCAGUGUACCCGCGGCAAGACGGAAAGACCCCGUGAACCUUUACUAUAGCUUGACACUGAACACUGGUCCUUGAUGUGUAGGAUAGGUGGGAGGCUUUGAAGUGUGGACGCCAGUCUGCAUGGAGCCGUCCUUGAAAUACCACCCUUUAAUGGCUGGUGUUCUAACGUGGGCCCGUAAUCCGGGUUGCGGACAGUGUCUGGUGGGUAGUUUGACUGGGGCGGUCUCCUCCUAAAGAGUAACGGAGGAGCACGAAGGUUGGCUAAUCCUGGUCGGACAUCAGGAGGUUAGUGCAAUGGCAUAAGCCAGCUUGACUGCGAGCGUGACGGCGCGAGCAGGUGCGAAAGCAGGUCAUAGUGAUCCGGUGGUUCUGAAUGGAAGGGCCAUCGCUCAACGGAUAAAAGGUACUCCGGGGAUAACAGGCUGAUACCGCCCAAGAGUUCAUAUCGACGGCGGUGUUUGGCACCUCGAUGUCGGCUCAUCACAUCCUGGGGCUGAAGUAGGUCCCAAGGGUAUGGCUGUUCGCCAUUUAAAGUGGUACGCGAGCUGGGUUUAGAACGUCGUGAGACAGUUCGGUCCCUAUCUGCCGUGGGCGCUGGAGAACUGAGGGGGGCUGCUCCUAGUACGAGAGGACCGGAGUGGACGCAUCACUGGUGUUCGGGUUGUCAUGCCAAUGGCACUGCCCGGUAGCUAAAUGCGGAAGAGAUAAGUGCUGAAAGCAUCUAAGCACGAAACUUGCCCCGAGAUGAGUUCUCCCUGACCCUUUAAGGGUCCUGAAGGAACGUUGAAGACGACGACGUUGAUAGGCCGGGUGUGUAAGCGCAGCGAUGCGUUGAGCUAACCGGUACUAAUGAACCGUGAGGCUUAACCUUACAACGCCGAA
rnacentral:rRNA from 1 species